rnacentral:rRNA from 1 species
GAACAUUGGACAAUGGGCGAAAGCCUGAUCCAGCCAUGCCGCGCGUGUGAAGAAGGUUCUCGGAUUGCAAAGCACUUUAAGUUGGGAGGAAGGGCAGUAAGCGAAUACCUUGCUGUUUUGACGUUACCGACAGAAUAAGCACCGGCUAACUCUGUGCCAGCAGCCGCGGUAAUACAGAGGGUGCAAGCGUUAAUCGGAAUUACUGGGGGUAAGGCGCGCGUAGGUGGGUCGGUAAGUUGGAUGUGAAAUCCCCGGGCUCAACCUGGGAACUGCAGCCAAAACUGGCGAGCUAGAGUAGGGCAGAGGGUGGUUGAAUUUCCUGUGUAGCGGUGAAAUGCGUAGAUAUAGGAAGGAACACCAGUGGCGAAGGCGACCACCUGGGCUCAUACUGACACUGAGGUGCGAAAGCGUGGGGAGCAAACAG